GGUGCAUUGGUCUAGCGGUAUGAUUCUCGCUUAGGGUGCGAGAGGUGUAAGUUCAACUCACCACUCGGUAUGCUAUACAAAAGCAGUACUAACAAAAUUUCAGCCCCGGUUCAAUCCCGGGAUGCGCCC
rnacentral:tRNA from 1 species